AUCCGGAUGGGCAGAGCUGAGAAAGUUGGAACUAGAGGGAGGAGGUUGGUUGGUGUUUUUUUUAAAGCAUGCCGGGCGGUCACGUGACAUGACCUUUCCUUUGCUCUCCUCUUCCGGUAAGAGGACGGCUGAUUGUGUGACACUGAAGCCAUCCCCUUAGGCAUUUUCUGUCGGCAAUUGAAUCAGCCAGAAGCUGGAUUCUCUGAGCUUGGAGCAGGCUUUCCUGCAUUUCCUGUGAAGAAUUUUCCUUUUUUUUUUUCUUGGGAAGUGAGGUGCUUGAAGGGAAAGAAGAAGAAAGAAACCAAAGAAGAAAGAAGUUCACCUGUUUGCUCUUCAUCUUCUAGAUCCUUUUGAAAAUGGACGUCGGCCUUUACCUUUUACGUAUCGGAUAUCAAGGUCCCAUUGAGGCUUCUCUGGAUGUUUUGCGCCACCUCCACCGACGCCAUCUCUUGUCUGUGCCCUUUGAGAGCCUCAGCAUCCACUGUGGGGAACCCAUCAUCCUAGACCUGCCACUUCUCUAUGACAAGAUCGUCCAGCGCCACCGCGGUGGCUUCUGUUUUGAGCUCAACGGCCUUUUCCUUUGGCUACUGCAAGCAUUGGGAUUCGAUGCCAAAGGCCUGUCCGGGAGGGUCCGGAACCGCUUCACUGGCCGUUACGGUCCCCCCUUGGACCACAUGGUGAUUUCGGUGCAGCUGGACCAGCACCGGUACCUUUGCGACGUAGGCUUCGGAGAAUCUUUCACGGAGCCUUUAGAGCUGAAGUCAGAUGUGGAACAAAUCCAGGAAGGUGGCAUUUUUUGGCUGGGCCUGAGUGAGGGCAUCUGGGUACUCGAGAGGCGAGAAGAAUCUGGAAAGCAAGGGAGAGCCCUGUAUCAGUUCACCCUCGAGGAAAAGAAAUUGGGCGAUUUUGCAGGCAUGUGCCUCUAUCACCAGACCUCACCCAUGUCCAUCUUCACCUGCAAAUCCUUCUGCUCUUUGCACACAGAGGGUGGUGGGCGCCUGACCUACAUGGGUCGGCGUCUCAUUUCCAGCAAGGGAGAAGAGCGUACACAGACCCUCCUUAAGAGCUCAGAGAUUCCCAUAAUACUGGAAAAACAAUUUGGGAUGAAACUGGAAAGGGCUUUUACACCAAAGGACGAAGAAAUUAUGCCACCUCCUGAAGAGGAUUUAUAAUGGAGAAGAGAAACUGAUCUUUGGUUUACAACGGAGUUGGGGUUGGUCAAGAAGACCUUUGAGGGGUUCUUUCAAACUUCUAAUUGUAUAACUGAAACAAAAACAAGAUUCAUUAGGCUUUUCCCAAACUGGCACUGCUGGGCAGGGGGUUGAUGGGUGUCAGAGUUGAACACAUCUGAAAGAAACAAGGUUGAGGAAAGUUUGAUCAUGCUUAACCAUAUAUGCUGGAUGAGUCUGGUCUAGUUAGACUCAAAGUUAACAAUUAAAAGAUUGUUGAAAAUGAGGGCUCCCCCCCCUCACAAGGGAUUGGUCUGACCAAAUCUUUCAACCUGCCUCUGAGUGAGAAACUAGAUGAUACGCUUAGCAUAUAUUUAAAAGAGGUGCUCCCUCAUGUGGAAAAAGGCAUCCUUUUAUCAUAGUAUUUAGCAUGCUUCGUUUGUUCCAGAACCAGUCAUUGGAAGGGCUCGGUCACAAUGGUUCCACGUCAGGAAGUGCCCAACGUCCACAUUUUCAGCACCAGGGCUGGGGAUGUGAUUGUGCGUCCAGACUUAGAUUGUUACCUCCUCCUCCCUCCUUUGCCAACCUCGCCCUGCGCCGAUCUACGCCCCCUCCAUCCUUCCUUGCGAAGUGGAGAACAUUAUUUCAGCUCCCGAUGGUGUGACUCCAUCUACGUCAUCAGGGGCAACAAGCUCCUGGAAGCCGAAGACCUGACCGCUGGGGCUACGAAGCCGGCCCGUCUCCUGCACGCUAGUUGCUUUGGUGGGCAGCGUUACUUUAUCAUCGCCGGUGGCUCCAUUGGCAUCCUCAUGGGCCCCGGCACGGUGACGGCCGUGAAGGACUUGUCCACGGGAGAACCAGAUCCAGAAGCAGCUCCUCUCGGCCCACGCCAGUGGUUCAAGGAGAAAAUGGGGAGCAGCCGUAGCUACCUCUACUGGCAACUGUGGGACCCCUUCAAUGGGGAAUUCUUUUCUUUCCACCCCAAAAUCCUCAGCUUCUUGCCAGGGGGUCUUGGCCUCCUUAAAGGGUCUGCAUUCGGAGUUUGGACAUUGCUGGACACCAUUCGCAACGACUCGGACACCCCUGUCACCAGGGCGCUGGAUAUAACCCAGAGAGUGGGCUGCGCCACGGAGACGUUGGCUGACAUUGGAGAUGCCUGGACCGUAUCAUUGUCGGAUGCUCCCAAGCCUGGCUCUGUUGCCGUGGCAAUAGCAAAGGCCCAGUUUGCAUUACCGGUCCAAUAUGGCGGCUUAGGCCUCAACACAGAGCAGGAGGAGUGGGAAGAACUGUUUUAUAAAGAGAAAACCCUACAAUUCACUCUGCAGAGCCAGGAAGGAGCUUAUGUGUGGCAAUACCAGCUCGGCCUUGGGAAAGAGACGGUCUUGUUCUGUAGGGAGCUUAAGGUCACUCAUAGCAGUGACCCACCGUCUGAGAUCCCCCUGCCUCCUUCAUCCUAAAAUGGUGGAGCCAGUUCUCUGCCACUAUCUCCUUUUGCUUUCUGCGGCACGUCAAGAGUUUUUAAUUUUCAUUGUAUUUUAAUCCUCUUGUUGGAUUGAACUGUAUUCUCAAGUUUGCUGUUUUUAUGGUACGGCUGCUUUAAAUUGCCUUGUAAGUUGCCCUGGGUCCCAGUUCUGGAAGAAAGUUGGCCUUAAAACAAAAUAGAAUGCAAAUGUUUUUAUGACAGGGGUGUGUUCAACCGUAACGGAAUAAAAAUGCUUUUUAACUGCCGUGUGACCUGUGAAGCCUCAUUUUACACCUGCAGCCUUUCCCCGUGUAAAUCCUUAGGUGUGCUCCAGGCCAAGGAAAAGGGGAGAAAUAGAAUUGUCCCAAAAGAGAGAAGGGGCAUCUCAGACUUUGGGCGGGAAAAAAAAUAAGCAAGCAAGGCUCGCAGGAAAAGGAAAU